UUUGGCUUUAACGUUGCAGCAAGUUGGGAGAUACUUGCCUAUACAAAAUCAGAGCCCAGCUGAGUUCACUGGAGUCUGUGUGGGCAGCCACUGAGCCACACACCUUAAAUCCUGGAAGGAUUCACUCCCAAACAAGAGGACGAAAGGUGAAAAUCAGAUGUGACAACUGUUUCACCAGGGACUUUGGGAGCUCUGGAUUGAAGGAGUGUCACUGCAUGGAGAAUUUUUCCAGUGAGAGAUUGUCCUAUAUUCUCACCUAAAAAAAAAGCCUUACUAAAUGAACAAUAUUUUUAAGUAAUGCUGUGAAAAGAUACAUGGAAUUCUUUUGUUUUAUAUCAUCAAGGUGCUGGCCAGAUCUGACACAAAAAACAAUAAUUUGUGCCAGAUGAUUGAAGAGCAGCUUUGCAGUUUUCUUCCCUGAUUCAUGUUUCCAAGACUACCCCUGGAUUUGCCUCUGUUUCUGACCAGUUUUCCUGUCAGCUUCCAAGGGAAGAUGAAAACCUGGUGCUCAAACCUCAACAAACAAGGCACGCUCACAGCAGUCAGGAGUUUGAAUCCCUGCAGCAGGUGGGCAGUUUGGCUGCUGAAGAAGUGAUGAAAGAGCUGAGGAACUGCAAAAGAUAUUAAGAAUUGUUCAGAUCUUAGGCAGUUGUAAAGGCUCACUCUUGCUCUCAAAUAAUUUCAGCAGCACAUUAAAUUCUGGAAUCCAUGGCUUACAGUAACUUAUUCCUGUCAAGACACAGUACCAGGCACUACAGAGAGGGCCCAGGAAAUAAAAGACAAAAGGACUAUUUGUGUAUUGCUUACAGUUUAGUUUCUUCCCAACUCCCUUAGGAUCUUUUCCUUUUAUAAUUAUUAAGUUGUCACUUCAUUACUAAUGUAAGUUUUCUGCAUGCUUUUGAACUUGGUCUUUGUUCUACGUGACACUGGCUGAACACACAGUAUUGGGGAUGUAUUCCUUGGGGUUUAAUUUACUCUCACCAUGCUUCUCCUGGUUCUCAUAGUAGAAGAAAGAUGAUCAGGGAUUUGCCAUCUAAAAAAAAGUCUUAUAUUUAAAUUCAAAACAAUGCAGUUUGUGGGAUUAGGACUGAUAAUGUAAAUUGGAACUGUGUUGCCUCAGAAAAGUCUUCUCUCUUACAGACAACUUGAACAAGGUCCUGUUAAUGAAGUACAAAUUAUAAGCAUUUCUGGUUACUCUCUGUAUUCUACAGACAUGAGAACCUUCUCAGUUUCUCUGGCAGACAUCCAAAGAUUAAUUCAGACACUUAUAUAUAUCUGUAUAGCUGAUAGACCAUAAUAUUCUUCCCUCUUUAAACCUCUCAUUUUGAAAGAUGAAGCCUGAAUUCUAUAUCUGAGAUAAGCCUAUUUAAUUAGUUUGGCACUCUACUAUGUGUGGGCAGAGGAAUUCUAUUUGUUUUGCUGAAGUACCACACUUCCUUUUCACAUAAGCUGAGAAUGCAAUGCCAUUAACUUUUCUUCCUAUAAAUUGUGUAACUAAAUACCUCGUUAAUUUCGUUAGGAGAAUAAAUGAAGAUGUAUGGCAAUACCCUUUCUGGAGGAGAAACUGCACCAAAACAGUCUGCCUGCAAAACGUAUGUUUGUAAACACUGGAUCACAUUCUCAACCAUGCAGUUUCAUUGACUUUGAUUAAUAAAGAUCUGGUCUAUCAGUUUUCUCUCAGAUAAAUACAAAUGAACUCUUCCUUGUGUCUCAA